CCCCCGUCCGCCCGCCCGCCGCCCUGCCAACAGCCCCAAGUCUGUUUCCAGGAAGAGCCUCCCAGCUGUGAAAGAAAAGAACUUUAGUUCUUUCCCAACCUGAGAAGUCUGCAAGCUGGAUUUGCGCCCUCCCCCGAGUUCUGGUCAGGAGGCUUCUCACCCUGUUCACCCUGUUCAAGUUGUUACAAAGUUCAGCUAGAGAAUUCUUCUCCCUGUGGAGUUUUACCCCCUGCGACUCUGGCCACUCACCUGAUGGAUCCCUGUGGUUCCAGGCAGGAAUGGGCUGCUUGGGGUCCCAGCAAACUCCCAGGGCCUUUCUGCUUCUUCCUCUACCCCUGUAUUUCACUUGACUCAGCUCUCUAACUUGACUCAGCUCCAGUUGUUCUGGAGCUAAAAUUCACAACGCAAACCUCCACAUGCUGCUCUGUCUGGAGCUGCAAUCUAAUCCUGCUUCCCAUCUGCCUUGAUCCUGCAAAAAAGGAAUACUACUUUUUCCUUUUCAAUUUGGAUGCCUUUUAUUUCUUUUUCUUGUCUGAUUGGUGGAAAAGUUUUCAGUUUUUCACUGUUGAUUAUGAUGUUAGCUGUGAGUUUUUCAUAAAUGGCUUUUAUUAUGUCAAGAAACUUUCCUUCUACACGUAAACAGUCAAGAGUUGUUAUCAAGAAACAAUGUUGAACCUUGUCAAAUGCUUUCUCUGUGUCAAAUGAGAUGAUUAUGUGGUUCUUAUCUUUCAUUCUGUUAAAGGGAUGUGUCACACUGAUUGAUCUGCAUAUGUUAAAUCAGCUUUGCAUGCCAGGGAUAAAUCCAACUUGGUCAUGAUGUGUAAUCUUUUUGAUGUGUUGUUGAAUUUGGUUUGCUAAUAUUUUAUUGAAGAUUUUUGUAUCAAUGCUCCAUGAUAGCCUGUUAUGCGACCACUUAACAGGGUGCAUUAGAACUAUAGUAGUGGUCCAGGAGUCAUUUUCACAAGUUAUUUUUUGGUAAAAGAAGAUAAAGAUAAAUGUGUAAGAUAUGAUCCAAAUAAUAGAAAAUGCUGACAAAAAAACCAAUACUAUAUAUGUGAGUGAUGUAUGUGUCUCUAUUUAUAUUUACAUAUGAGCAUAAAAAGGACACAUAACACAUACCAAUUUAUUAACCUAGGUUACCCGCAGAAGGGCUGGGGCUGAGUAUAGGGGCCGUUGUAAGCAGAGGGUUGAAGAGGAGAGGGGAAAGCCAAGCAAAAUGGGGACUGUUCUAAAAAUAUGUAAAAAAUGGUGAUAUAUAGGGGCGGGUAUGAUGGCUCACGCCUGUAAUCCCAGCACUUCGGGAGACCAAGGUGGGUGGAUCACCGGAGGUCAGGAGUUUGAUACCAGCCUGACCAACAUGGUAAAACCCCGUCUCUACUAAAAUACAAAAAUUAUCCGGCCGUGGUGGCAUGUGCCUGUAAUCCCAGCUACUCGGGAGGCUGAGGCAGGAGAAUCACUUGCACCCAGGAGGCACAGGUUACAGUGAGCUGAGAUCGCAUCAUUGCACUCAGGCCUGGGCAACAAGAGAGAAGCUGCAUCUCAAAAAAAAAAAAAAAAAAAGAAUAUAUAUAUAUAUAUAUAUAUAUACACACACACACACACACACACACACGUAUAUAUAUAGUGAUAUGCAUGUAAAAUUGUGAGUGUAUAUACAAAUAAAUUUGUAAUAAAAAUUUCUAAAAUAGAAAAGUGUAGGAGUAUGCACAAGUGGGAGAGAUAACAUUUGAACUGGCUGAAUCACUGCAGUGUUGUGAUGAACAUAUUGGUUUGAACGUAUUGAAACCAGUCUGGUGGCAAGACCUGGAACUCUCCUCUUGGCCCCGUUCUCAUUAUCUUGGUCAUAAUAGGGGAAAGAUGUGGAAAUCAUGUUGAUUACACUUGCAGGUAAAAGAAAGAAAGAUGGGAUAACUUUUUAUGUUUGAAAACAGAAAUAAAAUGUAAAACAAGCCAGAAGAUUUAGCCCAAAGCUAUUAAGUGAACAUUAAUCAAGAUAAAGUUCUGUCUCUAGUUUUAAAUACAUCCAUUUACCUAAACUAUUUGUGUGGGAAUGAUCAGUUUCUUGUGCGUAAGUUCCAUUAAGUCACUGGCUUUGUCUUAUUUAUCUUUAAGCCCUGACUACCCACUACCCAGCACAGUGCCUGGCCCAUAAUCUAUUCUGGACAGAGACCAGAGAGGAUCUGAUGGGAUGGUAGAAGGUGAUGAGAUGGAACACAAAAGCAGUGUGUACAAAGAGAAGGAAGGACAAACCCGAGGGGCACCAUGAUGCCAGAUUCUAUGCCAGGGGUACCUUGAACUCCUGAGAACCCUGGGAUGUAGGUGAUAUUAGAUCUACUUUGCAGAUGAAGAAACUAGGGGUAAAACUGGAUUUGAACCCCAGGUUUGCCCGACUUCAAAUUUUCCCCCAGGAAACUGGUAGGACAGCAAGUAUUAUUUUAGAUCAUAGACACUUAGAGCUGGGAAAUCCCAGGCGCCAGAAGCCAGGGUGGGCUGGGGCCCGGCAGCGGAGCUCUGGGCACACUCCAGCUGUCACUUUCAACCACAGCAGCUUUGCUUCAUUCUUUUUUCCUUGUUCUUUGUAAGAUUCUUUUUUCUUUGUAAGAUUUCAUUUGAAUAAAGAAUUCCCUGGCUGAAAAGAAGAAGCUUAAAAUCAUUAUGUAUGUCAUCCAUCCUGCCUCAGUCUUCAUUAUAGAAAUAAGAAAGAUAAGGUCCAGAGAAGGGAUUGAUACACAUGGUCCAGCUAGGGCUGGCCCCAGAACACCACCAGACUGGGCUUCUCCUGAUACCUGAGCCCCUGGCCUGGAGUUUUCCUAGAGAGGUUGUUGUCAGGGGAAAGCCCCCACAAAGCUGCUGCCUCUCCACUCCUCAGCCAGGCUUGCCCAGUGCCUCACUCCCACAGGCCAUCAGUCUUCUUUUCUUGGUCGUCCUUUUGGGGAGGGCCAAGAGCUUGAAGGGAGCCUCUCGGGCCUGUCAAUCUUUCUUCAAGUGCAUCUGCUUUUCCAG
rnacentral:lncRNA from 10 species